UCAAACUUGAUUUCAAAGUGGGCAAUGGAACCAAUUGUAGUGGGUCCAACCAGCAUUAAAAAAAAUAAAAACAAGAAAGAAUAGAAACUAUCAGAGUACAUAACAAGUAGUAAAGGAAGUCACCAUCCUCAGUGGGGACCUUUCUCAGACAAUCUAUUCUUCCACCGUUCUUGAGCAACCAAGAUAUUAAAAAGGAAGACUUGAAGUUUCUAUGCUGCUUGACCCAGAAGUUUCUCAUUAUGGAUGUGGGGUUCUUACUUUUGAAGCCAUGUCAUCUCUGCACAGCCGGUCCCUUUUCCCUUCUGCCAUGAGUGGAAGCAGCCUGAAGUCCUCACCAGAAGAUGUCAGUGCAUGCUUCCUGUACAGUCUGCAGAACUGUGAGAUAAAUAAACCUCUUUUUUAAAAAAAUAAAUUACCCACCCUUGGGCAUUCUUUUAUAGUAACAAAAAAGGACUUAGAUACUAUGUGAGAAUGAAUCAUUCACAAUGCAAUUGUCAGACAAGUGAGAUUAACAUUUCAAUUCUCAAGUUAUCCGAUUGUUCUACGUUUUCCAGGCUUUGUCAUGACUUGUUCACUCCCAGGGCUGCUUAGAUCUCCACUGACCAAUACUCAUGGAGAAUUGAGUAAUCAGUUUAUAAAAUCUAUAACAACGAUAAAAAUACUGAAUUCAUUGUUUUUGCCCAUUGAUCUUUGUCAAAUAUUUUAAUCACAAUAAAAAUUUUAAAUUUAUGAAAGGAAGACCAAAGUUCAUUUUGAGGAAGACAUCUCUCAUUUCGGCUUUUGAGCAUUCGUUCUCAGGAAACAGAACAUAUUUUAGAAGAGAAACAUCCUAACACAUCUGGUGUGAUCUUCUAGUUAUCUAGUUUAAGCCAAAAAAGGUGGCAUCAUCUGUUUUUCUGUCAUACAUUUUGAAACAUGAGUUUCUGAAAGCUAUUUCCUAACAUAUGUCAAUUUAACAUCUGCUGGUUUCUAACUGAUAGCUAGAAACAGCGCACUGGCAGCCCUUCCAAUAGUGCCGAGGUAUUUCCCAUUAGAAUUGUUUUCACUUCGGAGUUGUCAGUCAUAUUUUUACUCUAGGGUAGCCUAUUUUCCUAACUUGAAGGAGAUACAUGAAUGGAAGCACAGAGAAGGAGGAAUAAACAGAAUGAUAUAUUUACAGUUAUGUGACAAUACAGCAGAGAAAGAUUUCAAAAAGAAAUAUUAUAAAAGAGAGUCAAUGUCAUACGUCACAGAUUAAACACCUUCUCCUGGCAAAGCAUGCUUCACUAUGCUACAUCUUAAUCCAUCCUUGUUAUUCAAUAUCAAGAGUAUUUGAAAGCAGAAUUAAAAUGUAUUACCCAUAUCUAAGAGUACCCAACCAUGUCCAAAGCUUCUCUAACAUUUCUUCUCCUUUUUAAUCCUUUGAUGCAAUUUAAAGUGCAUCAGUGAACUUCAAUUUCUGUCUGGGAAUUCAUAACAGAAUAAUAUUUUGACAUUUAUUUUUGAAAGAAGGAGCCUAAGUGUUUGUCCUGGGAGAAAUCAGCAUUUUUGCUUGCCCUAAAGUAAUCUAGUGCUUAUAAACAUUUAGCAAUGUUCAGACAUAGUAAUUUGGAGCCUGCAAAUUAUUGGUGUCAUUUGUGCCUUUUAAUACAUUCUCUCCAUCCCAAUAACAUUAUUGGAUUUUAUUUCAUUGGACUUUAAAGUAGAGAUAUCAUUGUGGGCUUGUUUAGAACAAGGCUAGCUUCAUGUUGUUAUUGCUAUAUCCUCAAUGUCAAGCCAAGUGCUGCAUAUGCAAUCAGUAGAGAAUGAAUGAAUCAAUUUUGUCCCAAGAUUCUGAGAUCCAAAAUUUACUUUUAGAGUCCUAAAAGUGAGGUAUCUUGAAUAGCCUUACAUAAAUUUUAAAAACUAUCAAAUUGAUUUUGGUAAAGAAAGAAGAAGUAAGUUCUAGGACUUACUUGAACUUUCGUAAGGAAAUUUGGAUGGUAGGUCUCUCUAAAUAAAUUUUGGAUGCACUAUAAACCAAACACCAUUUAUGGUGAUGGCUGCUCAAUAACUUUUCAGUGAAGACAGUGGUUCUGAAUAUAAUUGUAAGGGUUAUGGAAAGAGAAGAAACUUUGGAGACCGAUAGUCUGGAGUUGAAAUCCUGGAUUCACUCCUUACAAAAUCAUUUAACCUCUACUUUUUUAUCUGCAAGAUAGGCAUAAUACUAUGAUGCAGGGUUGUUAUAAUAAAUUCGGUACAAUAAUAAUGUACACAAAAGCUUAGCAAAAUAUCUGGUACUUGACGUCACUUACUAAGUAGCAAUCAUGAUGAUCCUUCUUAUAACGAUUCCUGAUAUUAGCUGCUCUAAUAAUUCAGAGAACACUCAAAUUACAUGUAACCCAAACCCUUUAAAGCUUUAUUAAGUUAAAGCUAAACUCACCUUGUGUUGUGUUAGUCAAUAUAGCAG